AGUGAACGCUGGCGGUAGGCCUAACACAUGCAAGUCGAACGGCAGCACAGUAAGAGCUUGCUCUUACGGGUGGCGAGUGGCGGACGAGUGAGGAAUACAUCGGAAUCUACUUUUUCGUGGGGGAUAACGUAGGGAAACUUACGCUAAUACCGCAUACGACCUACGGGUGAAAGCAGGGGAUCUUCGGACCUUGCGCGAUUGAAUGAGCCGAUGUCGGAUUAGCUAGUUGGCGGGGUAAAGGCCCACCAAGGCGACGAUCCGUAGCUGGUCUGAGAGGAUGAUCCGCCACACUGGAAGUGAGACACGGUCCCGACUCCGACGGGAGGCAGCAGUGGGGAAUACUGGACAAUGGGCGCAAGCCUGAUCCAGCCAUACCGCGUGGGUGCAGAAGGCCUUCGGGUUGUAAAGCCCUUUUGUUGGGAAAGAAAAGCAGCAGGUUAACACCCCGCUGUUCUGACGGUACCCAAAGAAUAAGCACCGGCUAACUUCGUG
rnacentral:rRNA from 1 species